GAUGAACGCUGGCGGCGUGCUUAACACAUGCAAGUCGAGCGAAGCACCUUGACGGAUUUCUUCGGAUUGAAGCCUUGGUGACUGAGCGGCGGACGGGUGAGUAACGCGUGGGUAACCUGCCUCAUACAGGGGGAUAACAGUUGGAAACGGCUGCUAAUACCGCAUAAGCGCACAGUACCGCAUGGUACGGUGUGAAAAACUCCGGUGGUAUGAGAUGGACCCGCGUCUGAUUAGGUAGUUGGUGGGGUAACGGCCUACCAAGCCGACGAUCAGUAGCCGACCUGAGAGGGUGACCGGCCACAUUGGGACUGAGACACGGCCCAAACUCCUACGGGAGGCAGCAGUGGGGAAUAUUGCACAAUGGGGGAAACCCUGAUGCAGCGACGCCGCGUGAGCGGUGAAGUAUUUCGGUAUGUAAAGCUCUAUCAGCAGGGAAGAAAAUGACGGUACCUGACUAAGAAGCCCCGGCUAACUACGUGCCAGCCGCCGCAGUAAAAC
rnacentral:rRNA from 1 species